UACGUAGGGGGCAAGCGUUAUCCGGAUUUACUGGGUGUAAAGGGAGCGUAGACGGUUAUGCAAGUCAGAAGUGAAAGCCCAAAGCUCAACUUCGGGACUGCUUUUGAAACUGUGUAACUAGAGUGCAGGGGGGGUAAGCGGAAUUCCUAGUGUAGCGGUGAAAUGCGUAGAUAUUAGGAGGAACACCGGCGGCGAAGGCGGCUUACUGGACUGUAACUGACGUUGAGGCUCGAAAGCGUGGGGAGCGAACAGG
rnacentral:rRNA from 1 species